UGGUGACUGAGGAUUCAAAUUUAAAAAAAAAAAAAAAUGAAAGAAAAAACUUUUAAUUCCAAAGCAUGAACCCCUCACUGAAGCCACUGAACACUGUCAUCCACACCAAAACUUCAAAAGUUAACACUGGCUCGCACAGUUUGUCCCAUCCUUGAGCGGCAGAGCGACUCACCGUUUGCAGCCAGGCCUGGACGGCACCGCUGCUCCUAAGUCCCUCAGCCUUCAGGUCUCAGUCUACCCAGCCAGAGACGACCGCUGUGUGUCCUCCGUCAGACAGCAAAGCCACGACUUUGUGCCCACCUACAGAACCUCAGUUAAUCUUGGGAAUCUGAAAUCAUUCAUUUUAUUUAGCAAAGUGUUUUCAGUUCCUUCAGGAUUGUGCUUGUCUAAACCAUCUGCUCUGAGUGAGUUGUAAGGACUCAGGUAUGAAGCACCUUAAAUAUCCCAGGCUCAGGGGGUUUUGAACAGGCCCUGCAGGCUGGCAGAGGCCCUCUCCUCCUCCCCAGACAGCAGCGCCGUGGACCUCGCUGAGCUGGUGACCCAUCGUCAUUCCCAGCUCUUCUCCGGGAAACCCCUUCUGUAAGAAACAACUUUCUCACUUCCCCAGCACCUAAGUGCCAUCAUUCUGUCUGAUGAGAUGAAAGUGGAAAUAUCUCCAUCUUCUGGGGAAAGCUUUCAUUUUCUUGGUAAAACGAAAAACGCUGCUGCUGCGACUUCUGUGUCCCCGGCUUCAACCUUGAACUGGGGCCCGGUGCCUGAAGAUACAGGGGAGGGCUCAGACCGUGAGCAACUCCAGCUCACUGCAGUGGGUGGAAUAGAACAUUAUCCGGCCUCUGCACCAGUCCCGGACUGCUCACCCUGACUUCUACAAGAAAAAGAAAUCCCUUUUUGGAAACCUCAUUCUGUGGUGUGAACAGGGGGAUUCCCAUCUUCCGGAAACGACUUAGUCUUGAGCUGCCUGUGCCCUUCCCAUCGCAGUGAAUGUUGCCAGUUGGGGAUGACUGGGCAGCCACGGGGAAGGUGAGCAGAGGGCAGAGGAGUCCAAGCCCCUGAGGCAAGAAUUCAAUUCUGGGUCCUGAGCAGGGGUUGUCCUGGUCAACAAGCAACUUCAGUUCCUUGGGACAGGACCCCAGACUUGCUGGUAUGACGUCAUUGUUUCUUUACUGGCAUGGGAGCCGUCAGCCUACGAACUGCAGAGAACUCCGGGAAGGAGCCCUUUUCUUCCUGCAAUGAGGACAACCAGAAGCUGUGGCCACGGCACCUGCGGUCCCCGGAGCCUGGGCACUGACGUGAGGGAGGAAGGCGGCAGCUCCCUUUCCCCCUGCCCUGGCCACAGGAACCUCAGGAUUGAGAGCUCAUCUGCAGCUCUCAGGUGUGGUCAAGAAGUAGUGGACUGAACUAAGCAGCAUAGUGGUCAGCAUCACCUGGGACUCCGCCUAGAAUGCUGGAAAUGGGCAUUCUUGCCCCCCACGCCCACGAGACUUACUGAGUUAGAAACUUGGGGUAAGGGCUGGCAAUCGGUGUGCCCAACCCUCCAGGUGGGUGGUUCCGAUAUCUAUUCAGGCUUGAGAACCUUUGUGCUCAGGACGUCCGGUUACCAAAUCAUGCCACUUACGGUGACCAUUCUCAAAUGAUGACCGAAGGAAGAAAGAUGAGGAAGACUUGAGCCUGGCCGGGCAAUCCUUGGUUUCCUCACGAACCCUUGAGAUCGGGUUAGAUUUUGAACACCACUGGGACGUGCUAAGAGCUUCUUUGGAGCAGAGCAGUGCUCACAUCAAUAGUCCAGCAGACUGAGCACGGAGAUGUCAGCAGACACACUUGAAAGUUUGGUCUGAAAACCAGAGGGACCGUGCCCACAAUCCCCGCCGUUUCCCUGAGCAGCAUGGCUGUGGAGAGUUUGUUGUUCAACCCCGGAUGGCUCAGCAAAUCCAACGCCCUCUGCCUUGUACUAUCGCCGCAUGGAUCUGCAGAGGCAGCCGUUCCUGCCCGGUGGCUUCGCCUUCUGCGAAGGACAACACAGAACCACUCUUUGAAUUAUUUGACAUUGACAUCAAACAUAAUUGGCUGACUCUGGUUGGUGGUGAGAGAACAAAUGUUUCCAGGGAUUAUUAAACAACCACAAAAAUCUGAGAGCGCGGUUAUCUGAACAUGGAACAGAAACAAGACAGUAACGAGUUCCAAUGUUCUUUUAUUUUUCUACACAGGAUUCAAACGAACUCAGAGCAGCAAGAUCAGAAUACAUCAGUCUGACCUGUUUUUACUCACAACACUUCUGACACCAAGUGCGUGGGUUUUUUUCACACCGACAACCAGUUCCCCAACUCUCCAGACACCAACUGGGUGGCCUACGAUUCCAUUCAAAUGUGACACUAACUCCACAGGCUCCGAGGCUCGGUCCCUCAGGACUGCCCUGAGUUCAGACACCAGCCUCCUGGCUCCAGCCCAGAGUACCCAUAUUUCUGUCCAACUUGGCUACAAAGUAGGGGGUUUCCUACACUCACCCCUCCAUCCCCCCAGUUUCACAUUCAGUAACUUGCUAGAACAGCUCACAGAACUCAGGAAGGCACUUUACUGGUACUGGUUCAUUAUUAAUAUAAAGCACUGGACUCAGAACA